UCGCGUGCCUCCUCUCCUCCCGCCUCGCCGCCGCCUCCUCUCCCCUCCCGCGCCCACCUCCCUGCCCUGCCGCCAGCGCCGCCGCCGCCGCUUGCCCGGGCAGGCUCGUGGCUGGAUGAGACGAGGGAGGGAGCCUAUCUCUCGCGCAGCCGUCGCUCUUGCUCCUCUGGGCCUCUGCUCCGGCCCGAGCCGCCCCUGCUCCUCUGCGCCUCCCUGCUCCACGUGUGAUCAUACUGGCCCUCUCCUUGUGCUAGCCCCUUGCGGCCGUGAAGGGCGGCGGAGCCCUCAGGAGCGGCGGCGGCGGAGCCAUCAGAAGUGUGGCAAGGUCUUGCGUGAAGGUCAUCCUCCUACAUCGCUCUGUCACACACUUUGAUUUGAGUUAGAACAGAGGAACCCAGAUUUCUUUGCGUCACCUCGCCCCUCUGUGUUACCUUGCCCCAGGACCCUGAAAUCUCAGGACCGGCCCUGUGAGCACGCCAUGGAUUUCUCUGAUCCGCGAUGGUCGCCGUCGGCAAUGCUCACACCUGGUCUGCUCUUCUCUUGUGGAUGUGCAGGAAGAAAAGGGCCAUUGGAUUGUACGGGAAGAACGGGAUGUUGUUCUUUGCUGCUCGACCACAUUGCCGCUGAACCAUUUCUCCUGCCAGUCCCUUCAAUGUCCCUCAAAGUCUGCAGAAUCUCACCAUUUGUGUUUGCUUAGCCAUCCUACGAAGGUGCUCUGUUCAACUUGGCCUCUGUGUGACGAACAUCGAACCAUGCAUUUGUAUCUCCUUUGGCUGGAUACAGAGUUCCAUAUUCCGGGAAGAAGGGCUUAAAUGAUGCAUGUGAAUAAUUGAAGGGCCGCAUUAAUAGGCCUUUUCUAUUUGGUCAUUUGAUUGCACCAAAGAUUUAUUAUUUUCCACUGCUUAAGGGCACAACCAAUGAGGCAAUUUCUGGAGCCAACAACGACCUAGCUGGACACCGGGCUCUCUCAGAGUUUAGCGACUGGUGGCCGUCAGAUCGUUUUGCUUGAUGCGAUCUGGGCCGUCGGAUCAUGCCACCGGAUGACCUCGACCGUCGGAUCUGGGAGCGACACUGUAGGAAUGAAUAGAUACUCUUCCCCCGCGAUCUGGCUCACUCCGUGAUUUUGGCUGUGCCUCGUUGGCGUGUGGGGUCUCUCGCUGGCGGGCCCCACAUGUCAUUUGCUAUGGCUGGGGCAGGCCCCGUGCGGCCGGUCGGCGCUCUCCAGAGGCAAAAGAUAUCAUGCCACCGCUGAAAUUCUUGUCCCCUGCCGAGGGCAUUUUCGGUUUUUCCUGUCGCCGGCACCAAAUGCCUUGCCCCGAUUUGUGGCCUCUUCCCCAAUCGGGUGACAAAGCUAGGGUUCAGUCUUCUCCUCUCACCUCCGUCUUCUCGUGCGCAGUCAUCCUUGCUCCUCUUCUCUCCGGCCCGAGCGGCCGCCUCCGGCGGCCACUAGCUCGUUGCCCCGGUCAUAUCCGCGACUAGAGUUUCUCUUAGCUGGCGAGGGGCUAUGAUGAUCGGUUUUUGCUGAUAUAAGCAUGCUCUCGAGCAAUCGAGGCACUUGUGGGUAUUAAGUUGGACCCCCUCUUUUCUUUGUGCCGUUUUGAUCAUGUGCUUAUUUUAGUGGCUCUGUCCUUGGAUGGUCAUUUCUGAUGAGUGAUAACCAAGGCAGUUCCACCCUUGUAAGAACAGAUUGAUCUGGUGAUGGAGACAUUAGGGGAAGGGUCAUGAUCGAGCAAAGCCGAAUCUGAGCCCAGUCGAAUGCAGUUCUGGUCUCAAGCACAGUGUGCUAUGUUGUUGCCAUUCUGUAAUUGUAUUUAGCGCCUCUUUGGUUUGCAGGAAUUUAAGAACACACUGAAGGAAAAAAAAUGAAUGAUUGCAUUGUUAGGGCGUCUCCAUCGGUGACCCCGAAAGUUCUAUCCGCAAAUAUCCGCAUACAUGUGCUGAUAUGUCCACGGACAGCCGGCCUGUCGGAGGUCAUUCUUGCUAGGGCGAUGAUGAUUAACCGUGGCUGAAAUAAGUGUGCCUUUGAGCAAUCGAUGCACCUGUGGGUAUCAAGUUGGAUCCUCGCUCUUGUCUCUAGAAUCCUUUUUGAUCUGUGAUAUUUAUUGUUCUGUUCUUCGAUGGUCAUUCUUGUCGAGUGAUAACCAGGGCAGCUCCACGAUAUAAACAGAUUGAUCUGGUGAUAAGAGACGACGGGGGUAGGUUAUAUGAUCGAGGAAAGGCGAAUCUGAGCCCACUAUGCAAUGAACCCCGAACCCUUUUUAUUUGUAUUUAUAGGUGUUGCUCUCCAGUGUUUAUAGCCGUCUUAUGUAGAGAUUUCUUCUCUCUCAUACCUUUAUUGCAUAUAAGUUGUUCUUGCUCUUUUAUUGUUUGUUGUUGAUCCUUGAUUUAAUCUGGUUAAAAGUAAGUUGCACUUUGUUAUACUAGAAAGACUCGCUCCCAACAAGUUAUCGGUUGAACGGCUUGUUUUAAUUCGUUGUGAUACUAUUACAUAUUUUUCCGCAAGUUACCAGUUGCAGCUAUUUGUUCUUACAUGCUACAAAUAAUAAUGCUACAGGAUUUGUUUUAGAGUUUUUAUUGGGAGAUAAUGCUGGGUUGUUCAUGUAAAGAGUGACCAAGGUAGCAUGUCCCAUGUUGCUGUUUGUAUCCAUAAACAAUUUUUCGGCUGCUGUGAUUAAGUUGCUGGGUUAAUCCGAGCCAUUGAGCGGACAUUUCCUUCGUUUUCUUUAGUUUGUUCUGAAUCUUUCCCCAAUUCUGUCUGUCACCACUGCAUUAUUUGGAUCAUGCACCAGACUAAAUGUAGGUUUUGUUCGCUUUGUAACUUAUUACCUUGCUAAGUCAGCGUUUCAGGUUAUUUUGUUUUGUUGCUACCUUCUGGACGACGGAUUGGCGGCGCGGCGGCGACGAGGAUGCUGGCCACGCUGUCACACGGGAUUCGGCAGGAGGAGGAGGAGCGAGGCCGAAAGACGGCGGCCAGUCCGACCAUGUCCUCACUUCACCCCCUUAUCCCUUUUCGAUUUUGGAUUUGAUCUGACUACCGCCGUCGCCGUGGUUGCCUUGCCGUCGUGGCUCAGCUGCCCUUCCCUUUGCUCUCUGUCAUUCCCUUGGUAUUGUUAAUUUUUCUCCAUGUCUCCAAAGAGGUUCAUUUUCCUUUUAUAUCGGCUACACGUUUGUCUGUACAUUUGCACUUCCAUUGACAAGCUACAAGUUGGUUUUAUACAUUUUCUUAGUGUACAACUUGGUGAUCAGGCUUGUGUAACUGAGAAACUAAGAUUUGGUAGAUCAAAAAUAGUUUGAGGUUA